GACGAACGCUGGCGGCGUGCUUAACACAUGCAAGUCGAACGGAAAGGCCCCCACCUUGGUGGGGGUGCUCGAGUGGCGAACGGGUGAGUAACACGUGGGUGAUCUGCCCUGUACUUCGGGAUAAGCUUGGGAAACUGGGUCUAAUACCGGAUAGGACCAUGGUUUAGUGUCUCAUGGUGGAAAAAUUAUUGUUUUGGUGCAGGAUGAGCUCGCGGCCUAUCAGCUUGUUGGUGGGGUAAUGGCCUACCAAGGCGUCGACGGGUAGCCGGCCUGAGAGGGUGGACGCCCACAUUGGGACUGAGAUACGGCCCAGACUCCUACGGGAGGCAGCAGUGGGGAAUAUUGCACAAUGGGCGCAAGCCUGAUGCAGCGACGCCGCGUGGGGGAUGACGGCCUUCGGGUUGUAAACUCCUUUCGUUAGGGACGAAGCCACACCUUUUUUGGGUGUGGUGACGGUACCUUUGUUAAGAAGCACCGGCUAACUACGUG
rnacentral:rRNA from 1 species